rnacentral:rRNA from 1 species
ACGGAAGGCAGCAGUGGGGAAUAUUGCACAAUGGGGGAAACCCUGAUGCAGCGACGCCGCGUAUAGGAAGAAGGUUUUCGGAUUGUAAACUAUUGUCGUUAGGGAAGAGAAAGGACAGUACCUAAGGAGGAAGCUCCGGCUAACUACGUGCCAGCAGCCGCGGUAAUACGUAGGGAGCGAGCGUUAUCCGGAAUUAUUGGGUGUAAAGGGUGCGUAGACGGGAAAUUAAGUUAGUUGUGAAAUCCCUCGGCUCAACUGAGGAACUGCAACUAAAACUGAUUUUCUUGAGUGCAGGAGAGGUAAGUGGAAUUCCUAGUGUAGCGGUGAAAUGCGUAGAUAUUAGGAGGAACACCAGUGGCGAAGGCGACUUACUGGACUGCAACUGACGUUGAGGCACGAAAGUGUGGGGAGCAAACAGGAUUAGAUACCCUGGUA